CUUACACUGACACUGAACCAAGCCUCUCUCUCUUUCUCAAAAUAGGAAAACCAAAUCGAUUUCUGAGAUCUAAUCUCUCUCUCCUUUCCACUAUCGCGGUUCCUUGUCUCUUACGCGUUUCUUCUUGUGGAACGUAGCAUCUUUCUUUACCCCAGAUCUCUCGUGCAUAUCUAGGACUCUGCUCAUUUCUUUAUUCAAUCAAACCCAGCCGAUGUCUUCCUAUCUAAUAAAUCCCAAGUGAAUUUGUAUCGGUUUAUUUUUCUCUGAUGUUAGAGCCUUGAAGUUUGAGUGAUCAAAGAAACAGGUUGGUAAGAUUGGCAAAGGAUCGUUAUAGUGGGAUGAGAUCUGCAUUAUGAUCUUGUAGUGCUUGGGUGGGAAAAUCUGUUCGAAUUUUUUGCAAUUAGGUAUAAAAUGAGGGGAAGAUCUGAUGGGAACCAGAAGAAGCGGUUAAUCACUUCUGUCUGUGUAGUGGCAAUCUUUCUAGGAUUUAUGUAUUUUUAUUAUGGAUCCUUUUUUGGCUCCCAAAGCCGUGGUGCUGCAGCUUUAGAAUAUGGCAGCAAGUCCUUGAGAAAACUUGGGUCAUCUUAUUUGGGAGGGGAUGAUGAUUCUGAUGGAAAACAAGAUGAUUCUACCAAAUUUGGGCAGGAAGAUGGAGGGGAAUAUACUGUGCCAAAGAGCUUCCCUGUUUGUGACAAUCGACAUUCAGAACUCAUUCCCUGUUUAGACAGAAAUCUUAUAUAUCAAAUGAGAUUGAAGUUGGAUCUCUCUUUGAUGGAGCACUAUGAACGACAUUGCCCUCCUCCAGAAAGGCGAUAUAAUUGCUUGAUUCCUCCGCCACCAGGGUACAAGAUACCAAUUAAGUGGCCAAAAAGUAGAGAUGAAGUAUGGAAAGCAAACAUUCCUCAUACUCA
rnacentral:misc_RNA from 1 species